rnacentral:rRNA from 1 species
AUUGAACGCUGGCGGCAGGCCUAACACAUGCAAGUCGAGCGAGCGGCGGACGGGUGAGUAAUGCCUAGGAAACUGCCCGAUGGAGGGGGAUAACUACUGGAAACGGUAGCUAAUACCGCAUACUAUCAGAUGAGCCUAGGUCGGAUUAGCUAGUUGGUGGGGUAAAGGCCUACCAAGGCGACGAUCCGUAACUGGUCUGAGAGGAUGAUCAGUCACACUGGAACUGAGACACGGUCCAGACUCCUACGGGAGGCAGCAGGGGGGAAUAUUGCACAAUGGGCGCAAGCCUGAUGCAGCCAUGCCGCGUGUAUGAAGAAGGCCUUCGGGUUGUAAAGUACUUUCAGCGGGGAGGCGUUACCCGCAGAAGAAGCACCGGCUAACUCCGUGCCAGCAGCCGCGGUAAUAC